AACGCAAAUUGCACUCUUUGGUAUUCCGAAGAGUAUGCCUGUUUGAGUGUCAUGAAAACCUCAACUCCAAGUUUGGUUAAUCCAAGCUUGGAUGUUGGAUGUGGGCGUUUGUCAAUGCCAAGUUGACUCGCCUUAAAAAUGUAAGCUGGAUUAGUCUUUGACUGGUUCCCCUAGGCGUAAUAAGUAUUUCGCUUAGGACACAAGCUUGCUUGUGGCCAGGACUUGACGAUAGUCUGCUUUCUAUACCCUACACACUUGUGUGUGACUUCUUGACAUCUGGCCUCAAAUCAGGUAGGACUACCCGCUGAACUUAA
rnacentral:misc_RNA from 1 species